rnacentral:lncRNA from 1 species
AUGGAGAUGGAGGGGUUGACUUCUCGCAGAGGCACCGGCUCAGUAGAAGAUCUGACACGCUGCGUUCAAGAAGAGUUGAAUAGGUCAAAGCAGUUGGAUGAUACAUUGAUCACCAGCCUUACGCCAACCAAACACUGCGCACCGCAAGCAUCAUCAGAAUCCCAUGCUAUGCUGAUGGAGUCAGUAUUGAAUUAUCAGGUCCAGAUUCAAAAUCUGGAAACACUCCUGAAUGAGGAACGGAAGAAGGUUAAAGAUCUGCAACUUAAGCUGGAUAUUGUCGAACAGGUAUCGACAAAUAUAACCACAUAUCAGGAUGAUCGAUUAGUCAAUAUGACCGUUGAAUUGUCUACGUUUAAAGAAAAAGUUCCGUUCUUAGAACUAGAGUUGCUGGAGAGUCAAACGCAAGUCAAACAGUUGCAAACCGAUUUGUUGGCAAGGAAGAAGAUAUGUUUUCAACUACAGCAAGAGACAGCGCUUUUGGUAGAGAGUCAUCAGAAGGAGUUGAAUAAAAUUCUAGAUGCCAAAGUUCAUUUUGAGCUUUUAUAUCAGAAAGAGAAAGCAAAGUGCGAGGAGCUACAAGCUCAAAUCAAGUCUUCAAAACCAGUAAACUCGAUGAAUGAACAACAUCUCAAGGAAAAACUGAACGAAGAACAAGAGAGAUGUAUCAAGCUGGAAGUGGAGCUGGACCAGCAUAAACGGUAUCUAACAGUUCUAAAAAGCAUCAUGGAAAAGGAGGCAUCAAAAUCAAAUACAUUGGAAAAGGAUUUGGAUACUCUAAACAGUGUAAAACAAGCCUUAGAGCGGCAGGUAUGCACAUUUACGAAUCUUGCAAGAUUUAGUCCCAAUCCUCAGACAAGUGAUUUAAAAUUCUUGUCCUUUAGCUUCAAGGGUAUUUUCCUUACACCUCAAAACAUCUAA